GCUUCUCAUCUGAAUGAACCCUUGCAGCAACUUCUUAGCUACAUUAACCGCUUCUAGUUGUAUCCUCUUUGUGUACACACACCCAGCUUGCUUCCAGCUUGAUUUUAUGUGGCAAUCAUAGCUGCUUGUUCUCAUCUUUGAAAUUACUCCUUGCUUUCUCUUGCCUAACCUGGGUUAACUCUCAAAUGCCUACGGAACUAAACUCAUAACAUAAACAUGGGAUUUGGGACUUGGAUAAGACCCUGCAGCCAAUACAAGGCUCUUAUUUUGCUAACCCAGCUGUAGGAAAUAAGACUCAAACUCUCAGCAUGGCCACUUAUGUCCUGGAUAUUUUUUCUUCUAACCCUUGAAGUUUCAGCUUAGCUAUUAUUCUCCUCAUUAGUUGGGCACAAUAUCCUUUGUUUUCCCAAAGCAUUCUGCAUGUACUCAUCCUGUCAUUUUACCAGAAGAGUAUCACUUCCCAUUUGGACUGUAAAAGAGGGCUCCAUGAGCGUGGAAAUAGUCUUUACUUCAGAGAAGCUGAGUUGUUGUAUUUCCCUGAGGCAGCAAAUUCAUUUGCAAACACAAAGGCUCAGGGAAAUUUGCGCCCUAUUACACAGUCUCCAAAUAUUCCAGACUUGCUAAGACUCCAGUCGAAAAGGGUCAAGGCAGUUCAUCAGAUUCCCUUCCUAAUUCUCAACUUCCAAAGCAAGUUCUUCCCAGAGCACAGACAAAGGAAGACUAUCUGGCUGCCUAGUCUACAGCCCUGAGGACAAAAGCAUCGUCAGUGACAAGGAGAAGUCCUGCUGGGGAGUAAGAUUUUACCGAGACCCAGUUGAGGAGACAUGUGGGGAACUUGGAUCGUCUGAGACAAGCUGUCAAUGCCAGGCAAGCAGCGAUAUGCAGUAAGCAGGCUAAAGGAAGAGAGAGUGAGCCUUGGCUUACACUCUUUGCAGAUGUCUCUGAGGCAAAUGCUUCCACCAUGGCUAAUUUCAAGCUACCAAUGAUGAAAUGCCUGAAUAUUUAACAGUUGGCCUUCAGGGGUGGUACGAGCCAGCUCAAGCACAUCCUACCCAGUCAUUUUGGAAAGAUGAGGUCACUUCCUGUCAAUUUGUUACCAUAUGAGUGAUGAUGUGCCUUUCCAAAAGCCAGACAUCCUGGGAUGUGAAGUCAAGUGGGCCUUAGGAAGCAUCACUAUGAACAAAGCUAAUGGAGGUGAUGGAAUACCAGUUGAGCUGUUUCAAAUCCUGAAAGAUGACGCUGUGAAACUGCUGCACUCAAUAUGCCAGCAAAUUUGGAAAACUCAGCAGUGGCCACAGGACUGGAAAAGAUGUUCAAGCUGGCUUUAGAAAAGGCAGACGAACCAGAAAUCAAAUUGCCAACAUCUGCUGGAUCAUCAAAAGCAAGAGAGUUCCAGAAAAACAUCUAUUUCUGCUUUAUUGACUAUGCCAAAGCCUUUGACUGUGUCAAUCACAAUAAACUGUGGAAAAUUCUGAAAGAGAUGGGAAUACCAGACCACCUGAUCUGCCUCUUGAGAAACCUGUAUGCAGGUCAGGAAGCAACAGUUCGAACUGGACAUGGAACAACAG
ensembl:lncRNA